GAUUAAUAAAAUCGUGAAUAACCAUUGGAGAGGAGACUCGAUGAGUUAUACAAGCACUCCAGCACCGACGAGAGAGCUAUGGUGGAGUGAAUUUAAGCGAUCAUUCACUUGGGACAUGAUUGAUGAGAUGGAAA